GGGGUUGUAGCUCAGUGGUAGAGCACUUGCCUCACAUGCAUGAGGCAAUGGGUUUGACCCUCAGCACCA
rnacentral:tRNA from 1 species